rnacentral:rRNA from 1 species
AACGAACGCUGGCGGCAGGCCUAACACAUGCAAGUCGAGCGCCCUUUCGGGGGAGCGGCGGACGGGUGAGUAACGCGUGGGAAUAUGCCCUUCUCUACGGAAUAGCCUCGGGAAACUGAGAGUAAUACCGUAUACGCCCUGUGGGGGAAAGAUUUAUCGGGGAAGGAUUAGCCCGCGUUGGAUUAGGUAGUUGGUGGGGUAAUGGCCUACCAAGCCGACGAUCCAUAGCUGGUUUGAGAGGAUGAUCAGCCACACUGGGACUGAGACACGGCCCAGACUCCUACGGGAGGCAGCAGUGGAGAAUCUUAGACAAUGGGGGCAACCCUGAUCUAGCCAUGCCGCGUGAGUGAUGAAGGCCUUAGGGUUGUAAAGCUCUUUCAGCUGGGAAGAUAAUGACGGUACCAGCAGAAGAAGCCCCGGCUAACUCCGUG